CUUUUAAAGCUGUCUCCAAGGCAUUCCAGUGUCUUAGCAAUGAAGAAAGCCGGAAGAAGUAUGAUCUGACUGGGAGUGACGAGCCUGUUUAUGAGAGACGCGCUCCAAGGCAUCAUGGAGGGCAGGGAGGAUACAAUGGGUAUCAUGAUGAUUUUGAUCCGGACGAGAUUUUCAGGCAAUUCUUCUUUGGUGGAAUGCCACCUGCGACUACCCAAUUCAGAAGUUUCAAUUUUGGGAGAGGCAUGGGGCCGAGAACAGGUGAUAAUGCAUCUGGGUUUAACUUGCGUGCAUUGAUUCAGUUGCUGCCUGUUCUCGUCAUCUUGCUUUUGAACUUUUUGCCGUCUUCAGAGCCAAUUUACUCGCUUUCCAGGUCAUAUCCUUAUGAAUACAGGUUCACUACUCAGAAAGGGGUUAAUUUUUAUGUGAAGAAUACCAAAUUUGAGCACGAUUAUCCACCAGGUAGCCAGGAAAGGGCAACAUUGGAAGGGAAAGUGGAGAGGGAUUAUGCAUCUGUUCUUGCCCAGAAUUGCAGAUUUGAGUUGCAGAGGCAGCAGUGGGGUUU
rnacentral:misc_RNA from 1 species